rnacentral:ncRNA from 1 species
UAAAUAAAAGGGCAAACUUGUUGAAAAGCAAGGACGCAAAGCUAAGGGUCUAAAGUUCUAGGACGAACUAAGAUAGCCUGGUUACAAUU